UAAUGAGCAGUAAUGGCAAUAAAACAAUUACUACCUACAGAUGCUGACCAAAUAUCAGAAGUUAAUGAAAUUUUUACAUUUAAAGUAGAGAGUGUUUCAAUUAAACUUUGUCUAGUUAGUCAUAGCUACUCUUCUAAAUGUACGCCUACUAGUUCUUUUGUAAGCAAGUUGUAGGUUUAAUUGAACAUAUUCUUCAAAAUUAAAAGAUUCACAUAAACUAAAAGGUAAUUCAUCCUUAACUAUCCAUUUUACAAGUGCUUUUCUUUGAUUUUCUUGAUUAUAUGCAAAAUUACCUACAAGUAAUCCCCCUUAUAUAUUAAGGGUAAUUUGAGUUUGAGCAUGAGAAUCAUGCAUCCUAUGACUCUCUUGAUGUCUUUUUAAAUGGCAUGUUCCCCCACUACUACUA
rnacentral:lncRNA from 1 species